ACCGGGGCAGAUUCUGUUCUCUAUAGUGGGGUGCUCUGACUCUGAAGUGACUGAGGAGGAAAAAAACACAUGGUGUCACACAUACACAGCACCAGUAACACACGACAGACACCUGAGUCAGAACACUACAGCACCUGAGUAACAGAACACGACAGCACCUGAGUAAAGAACACUACAGCACUGAGUAACAGAACACGACAGCACCUGAGUAAACAGAACACUACAGCACCUGAGUAACAGAACACUACAGCCACCUGAGUAACAGAACACUACAGCACCCGAGUAACAGAACACUACAGCACCUGAGUAACAGAACACACAGCACCUGAGUAACAGACACACUACAGCACCGAGUAACAAACACUACAGUACCUGAGUAACAGAAUACUACAGCACCUGAGUAACAGACACUACAGCACCAGAGUAACAGAAUACUACAGCACCGAGUAAUUUGGACAUAUUUGAUCAGGUCAGUAGUGUGACCUUCUCCUCCUCCUCCUCAGUAUGUAUGUGUGUGUGUGUGUGGUGUGUGUUGUGUGUUGUGUACUGACUGACCAGGACCAGUUUGAGCAGGUCAGCAGCGUGGAUCUUCUCCUCCUCAGUACGUGUGUGUGUGGGUGUGUGUGUGUGUACUGACUGACCAGGACCAGUUUGAGCAGGUCAGCAGCGUGGAUCUUCU
rnacentral:lncRNA from 1 species